AUUAUAGCUUAUAAUCGACAAUAUUGAUGCCGUUUCGGUAUUGUUCGCAGCGAGAGGGUAUUUGACCCUUGGACCGUCUUCGACUGGCCUUGGAGGACCUUUUGGAAGCUUAACUUGAGCAGCAGUGGGACCUCGUGGGGCUGAUUUUGGGACCCUUGCAAACUGUUUUGGAGCUUAGUACGAGAGCCUGUUACAGGAGAGGCUAGGGAUCGUGGCAAGGGA